rnacentral:rRNA from 1 species
AACGUAGGAGACAAACGUUAUCCGGAGUUACUGGGCGUAAAGGGCGUGCAGGUGGUCUGUUAAGUCUGGCGUGAAAGCUCUCGGCUAAACCGGGAGAGGUCGUUGGAUACUGGCGGACUAGAGGACGGUAGAGGCGUGUGGAAUUCCGGGUGUAGUGGUGAAAUGCGUAGAGAUCCGGAGGAACACCAAUGGCGAAGGCAGCUCGCUGGGACGGUACUGACGCUGAGACGCGAAAGCGUGGGGAGCAAACAGG